GGCUCUCGGCGGGAACAAUGGCGGGCGUCUCGCGCAGGCCCGCGAGCGGCUUCACAGAUGGCACGACUUUCAGCACCGGGAGCGCAUCGCCAGGCACCACCAGAUGAGGUUAUGUUCACCUGUAAAGGAAGAUGAACAGUCACCUAAAAUGUGUCUCCAGUGUCAAGACUGAUGACGCCACACGCAAACCAAGAGGAUAUGAAAAGAUCCACUAUUUAUACAGUGGAAGUUUCUGAGGAGGGCAGGAAUCUGAAAGAAGAAUAGUAUGUGAUCUUGGACACGUAUCGUAAAUG